AAAAUCGAAAAUAUAAGUCUAUGAGCUACCCGUAACAGUUACAGGAUGAAACCUUCAGAGAUUUACUACAGCCAAGACUCUAUCAAGGAGAAGUUUGACAAAGGACACACAAUUUAUUCUACCCUCAGUGUAUGCAAGAAACACCAGUAUGUGAUUAAGAAGAUUCCACCAAUAAGGGUCUGUAAGAAAGACGGGAAAUGGUAUACUUUGGACAACCGUCGGUUGUGGGUGUUCAGAAAGCUAGAGGCAGACGGACAUAUCAAGGAUGUUAAGGUCAUACAGGUGAGCAAAGAUCGUCUGCCGGCAGAGAAAUUCACCACCAAGAAUGGCGGCGAGAGUGUCGACAUUCGACAACCCUAUGUUGAAUCAGAUGAUGACGACGAUUAUUGAAUUCUCAAUGAUUUAUAUUGAGGAAUUUCAGAGAGACAUUUGAAUUGAAAACUUCGUUUUUGAUAUGUAAAUAUAUGAUUUUUUUUUUUAUUGUUGGCUCUAUUACCGUUUUUGACUCAUUAUAACCAAAUAUGUAUAAAAUAUUCGUACAAAGUCUACGUUGAUAUCAUUUGUUUUGUAAUAAAAGAUUAUUUCGCAUAUUUGUUUUACAUAUAAUUCAUAACUGUGUAAAUAAAGGAACAGAUUACCAUAUUCUCUUUUCAAGUUUAUGAUGACAUGAUUUUGUAAAGUUUUUUUAUGACUAUAUAAUAAAGAUUGUUUUUUAUAUUU
rnacentral:sRNA from 1 species